GGCGCUGUUACUUUGAAGAAAUUAGAGUGCUCAAAGCAGGCCUACGCUUGUAUACAUUAGCAUCGGAUAACAUCAUAGGAUUUCGAUCCUAUUGUGGUUGCCUUCGGGAUCGGAGUAAUAAUUAACAGGCACAGUCGGGGGCAUUCGUAUUUCAUAGUCAGAAGUGAAAUUCUUGGAUUUAUGAAAGACGAACAACUGCAAAAGCAUUUGCCAAGGAUGUUUUCAUUAAUCAAGAACGAAAGUUGGGGGCUCGAAGACGAUCAGAUACCGUCCUAGUCUCAACCAUAAACGAUGCCGACCAGGGGUCGACGGAUGUUAUUUUUAUGACUCCCCCAGCACCUUAUGAGAAAUCAUAGUCUUUGGGCUCCGGGGGGAGUAUGGUCGUAACGUUGAAACUUAAAGGAAUUGACGGAAGGGCACCACCAGGAGUGGAGCCUGCGGCUUAAUUUGUCUCAACACGGGGAAA
rnacentral:ncRNA from 1 species